UACGUAGGUGGCAAGCGUUAUCCGGAUUUAUUGGGCGUAAAGGGAACGCAGGCGGUCUUUUAAGUCUGAUGUGAAAGCCUUCGGCUUAACCGGAGUAGUGCAUUGGAAACUGGGAGACUUGAGUGCAGAAGAGGAGAGUGGAACUCCAUGUGUAGCGGUGAAAUGCGUAGAUAUUAGGAGGAACAUCAGUGGCGAAGGCGACUUUCUGGACUGUAACUGACGCUGAGGCACGAAAGUGUGGGGAGCAAACAGG
rnacentral:rRNA from 1 species